rnacentral:pre_miRNA from 1 species
UAGACAAAUUUUUGUAUUCGAGUGUAUUCACGACGUGAAACAGGAGAUUACAGCUGUUUUUAAACGAAAAGUGAUUCAAUUAACAAAAUAGACUCCU